rnacentral:rRNA from 1 species
GGUGAACGCUGGCGGCGUGCUUAAGACAUGCAAGUCGAACGGCAGUCUUCGGACUGUAGUGGCGCACGGGUGAGUAACGCGUAACUGACCUGCCCCAAAGUCGCGGAUAACGAUUCGAAAGAAUCGCUAAUACGUGAUGUGCUGUCAGAUUGUGUUCUGCCAGUAAAGAUUGAUUGCUUUGGGAUGGGGUUGCGUUCCAUCAGCUAGUUGGUGGGGUAAAGGCCCACCAAGGCGACGACGGAUAGCCGGCCUGAGAGGGUGGCCGGCCACGGGGGCACUGAGACACGGGUCCCACUCCUACGGGAGGCAGCAGUUAGGAAUCUUCCACAAUGGGCGAAAGCCUGAUGGAGCGACGCCGCGUGAGGGAUGAAGGUCUUCGGAUCGUAAACCUCUGAAUCAGGGACGAAAGACACUUCGGUGGGAUGACGGUACCUGAGUAAUAGCACCGGCUAACUCCGUGCCAGCCGCCGCCGUAAGAC